rnacentral:lncRNA from 1 species
GUGGGCUUCAUACAUAGUAUGGGAAAGAGGCAGAAGGAGAAUAUGAAUUAUAUUUCAUACCAGUAAGAAGACAUGGGGCUAAGGAAGGAGUUCCAAGAACUCAGGAGAUGUCACUGUGUGGAACAAGACUCUUGCUUGUAUCUGUGAGCUUGAUGUCACAUUACCCCAGCAUUUCUUUCUGUGUCCUCAUCACUGUCUUCUUCUGUCUGCCCUUUAGCUUCUCCCUUUGUGUAUGCCUCUUGGCUCUCUAUCACAUCUCUUCAUCAGUGCCACUCUCUCUGUCACUUUCUAACCAUCUCUUUGUUUCCACUGACUUUCUCCCCUAACUAUAGCUCUUUCUGCCUCUCCCAUUCUUUCUAGACACAUCAUUAUCCUUAUGCAGUGCGCCGGUAUAAUUAAACUAAAAGUACCUGA